ensembl:lncRNA
AGGAUGGCAUAUAUGUAACGGCAGAUUCCAGCUUCAAUUACAAUGUGAUCUUAGUUUCCCUCUUAAAUGAUUGAAUCGUUAGAAGGUCAGCCCUCCUAGGGGAACGUCCCUGGCCCGUCCCUUGACCCCUGUCAGAAAGAUGGUUGUGUCUGACACAUCUGCUGCUCUGAAGGAGAGGAAGUCGAAGUCGGCAGACUCCAAGCCUCUCCAAGGGUCUAAACAACAGUAGAAAUCCGAGAACUGACCUGUGAAAACUCCUUUAUUUUGCCCUACGCUGGAGCCAACAGAGGCUUUGAUGGAAGUCCUUUCCCUGUCACCUGGAGAGAGGCUGAGCCACUCUGUCUAUAUGGCACUUAACCACGGCUCUCAGACAAACACAGAGGAUGCAGCAUGGACACGGAACGUCCGUCAUGGCCGACUAACAGAAAAUAGACCCCUCAAGCCCUAUUACUCUCUCCUCUGUCAGGAAGGAGUUAACCCCGCAAAGACUGAACAUUAGGGUCAAAUGUUAACAGAGCAUGUAAUUAAUGUCAUGAGUCCCCUUGACCAAUGAGGCGGACUCGCGCUGUCUGUUCUCAACUAGCCAACAGGAUCAGAGCGUGCAGGAAUUCAUUCAGAUCUCAUAAUCAAUAAGUAACCCUUAUCAAAGGCAGAUUGUAUCCUACCUGCUGUUUCAGAGUAAGUAAACAGGAUUAGCAGCUGUGGCAGAGCACCUUCCGCUUCCAAUCUUUUUUUACAUGCAAGAAAACACAUGCAAUGCAAAAG